CCGCCAUCUCCGCCCGGCGCCGCCUGUGCUGAAGGAGCCACGCCCCGGGCUCCGGAGCCUGCCUCUGCAAAGUCCAGGCCCGCGGCGCGCAGGUCAGGGCCGCUGCUCCGGGCGGACGGGGACGCGCGGUCACAGGCAACUCCUGUCCUAAGGGCAAGUGAGACAGGAUCAGGGCUGGUAUGAAGGCAUCUCCAUUAGCAGGGAACCAGACACCUUCCAUCUGACUGCUCUGCUAUCCUUCGCAUGCUGCCUCAUGGUCCAAAGUGGCUGCUGAGCACCAGCCUUCGUGUCUGCAUUCUAGCCAGCAGGAACGAGAAAAGGAAAGGGGGCUGGCCUAAAGGCAAGAAGAGAAACCCCCCGAGGGACCUUGCUGUUCCGUGUUCCUACGACAGGGGAGAUGAACUCAAUGACCUCUACUGCGGGACCUCCAGGCAGCUCUUCAGCUCCCUGUGCAACAAGAAGGAACCUGCUGCAAAGGCAGCACCUGCAGCGCCUCUCAGGUAACCAGCCUGGGCCAGGCGGCUCAGCCGCAAACGCUGGCCUUGACUCCACCUGCGCCAGAGGUCACCAACAGGCGGCCCACGUGACACCUCUUGUUAUUAAAAUGCAAUUUUAAGACAGACUCUAGUCAAGCCCACUUACCACCAGGUGGGUGUUUAGGACAGGGUAGGUCUUCCACUAUAUCUGUUUUCCUCUUAGUUCGCCAGGCCCGCCUGCUCUGGGCCACGCAGGACACGGACGUCAGCUUCUCCUGGAGCGCUCGCUCACUUUAUUCCAUCUCUACGAGCUCCUCAAGUAUCCCAGAGCAUCCCCAGGCCUGUGGCCACCUCGGGUCUGGAUGCCGCAUUCUCUGACCUGUGGCACAUUCUGGGUGCCCAUGAUUAUGAUGAGGUUCUGUGCCCAUGUGGCCUCAGGGCUCUUGAGACCACCCUUCAACCAGGUCUUUGCUCACCUGUCUCCUGCCCAGGGACGCCACCCAGGUCACCGGUGCAAACCUCCAGCCCCUGCCCGUUUCUCUCCAUGAGUGCAUUGCCACCUCGCAGCCUCUUCCACUUGCUCAUUCCUGGUGUUAUUGCCUGUCUCCCACUGGAAGAGAAGGCCCUCAAGUUCAGCAACUGUUUUGCCUGUUUUGUUCACUGUGGUGAACCCCGGGCCUAGAACCACGCCUGGCACUCCCAGUAGGUGCUCAAUAAGUAUCCAAUGAGUGGACAAAUGAAUGGAUGUGUUCAACAAAUGACCCUAGAGCGUGUAUUCCUUCCAGGGACAGAGCGAGGUACUGGGGACACAGGAAGGACGAGGCAGAGCUCCGCGCUGACGAAACCAAGGGCCAAGCGUGCGAGUGAAUACGAACAUCCUGGCGUUAAAACGUCUUGCAUUCUAGUGAAAUGAGACCCAUUGGACACAGAGAAGCCCCACCACAAUUGCAUCUGUGUAAAAUCGAGAGAAAGAUCGUGAAAACAGCCAUGGCAGGGGAAUUUAAAAAAGAUCCUGCCACGUACUCAUAGCACCUGGAGCCUCUGGAGGAAGAGGAGGGACAAAUGAGGUCAAGUCAGAGGAGGAAGCUGAGGGCCCCGAGUCCCUUCUGCUCAGAUGUCCGCAUCCAGAGAGGAGUUCUGCUUCUCUCAACCUGUGUUUCUUGCAAGAGUUUAUCUAUAAAUUGCUGAAAAAUGGGUAAUCAAGUUCAGCAACUCCCUGGCAUCUGUGAUGACCUAUGGUUUGUAAUCCUAGUCAGAAUCACCUACAUAGAGGAUAUAAUAUUAAUCAGAACAAAACAGAAAAGUCGCUAGAGGAAUAACAAUAGUAAAAUUUACAAUCAGAUGAAGAAUAAAGUUUUCAAUGAGGCACAGUUCUAAGCACUUCAUACAAAUAACCUGUCUUAAUUCUCAUAAAAGUACUGCAAGGCAGGUGAUAAUAUCAUCUCCUUCUAAAGAUAAAAUGCAGCACAGAGAGGUUAAGUAACUUGUCCAAUGUUGAACAGCUAGUGAGUGGUCAAUCUGAGAUUUAAAUCCAGGCUGUCUGGGUCCAAGAACUCUGUUCUUCACUACUUCUCAACAACAUCAACUAUGUAAAAUGACACACAUACAUAAACCCACAUCAAUGGUAAUGGUGGUAAUCUCUGGCCGGCAAGAUGAAAGAAGAUGUUAUGCAAUUCUUCAGUCCUUUCUGUGUCUGCCACAUUUUCCCCAAUGGAUAGAUGUCACUUAAAUUAUCAGAGGAAGAAACAAACUCUAUUAAAAGGAAUUUCAAGGGCCGGGCAAGAUGGAUCACACCUGUAAUCCCAGCACUUUGGGAGGCCGAGGUGGGCGGAUCACCUGAGGUCAGCAGUUCGAGACCAGCCUGGCCAACAUGGCGAAACCCUGUCUCUACUAAACAUACAAAAAAAUUAGCCGGGCGUGGUGGCACAUGCCUGUAAUCCCAACUACUUGGGAGGCUGAGGCAGGAGAAUCACUUGAAUCUGGGAGGUGGAGGUUGCAGUGAGCCAAGAUCGCACCACUGCACUCAAGCCUGGGCGACAGAGCAAGGCUUCAUCUCAAAAAAAUAAAAUAAAAUAAAAUUAUUGUUUUAUUCUGCUUAUAAAAUUAGCAUAUUCAUUGAAGCUAGGCACAGUGGCUCCUGCCUGUAAUCGCAGCCCUUUGGGAGACCAGGGCGGGUAGAUCACUUGAGGCCAGGAGUUCGAGACCAGCCUGGCCAACAUGGUGAAACCCCGUCUCUAAUGAAAAUACAAAAAUUAGCUGGGUUUGGUGGCAGGCACCUGUAAUCCCAGCUACUCAGGAGGCUGAGGCACGAGAAUCGCUUGAACCCAAGAGGCGGAUGUUGCAGUGAGCUGAGGUUGCACCACUGCACUCCAACCUGGGUGACAGAGCGAGACUCUGUCUCAAAAUAAAUAAAAUAAAAUAAACAUAUUAAUUGAAGAAAAUUUUGAAAUUUCAGAAAAGUAUAUGAAGAAAAUGUAAACACUAUCAGUAGAGAAGUGUUGUUAGCAUUUCAGUGCAGUGUUUCUAGUCUUAUUUUCUAUAAAUAUCUGAAUCUACCCGCCUAUUUCUCUAUCUCUCUACCUAAAUAUAUCUGCAUGUUAUUUGUAUAUCUGCAUAUUUAUCUUAUAUUUAUCUAAAUAAAUAUAUCUAACUAUAUCUCUAUAUAGAGAUAGAGAUAGAAAGAUGGAGAGAAAGAGAGAUAGAGAGAUGGACAUGAAGGUAAAAUCCGUCCUGCAGCUCCCAUUUGCAGAAGAGCGUGAGCAUUUUCACAUCUCCUUCAACGUUCUUUUAGGCAUCGCCCCUCCUGGCUGCAUAAUAUUUCAUCAUAUGCGUGAGCCGCACUGGCUGCCCAGUUCCUCACUGUGUCGUUGUUUGUUUGUUUGUUUGUUUUGAAACAGAGUCUCACUCUGUCGCCCAGGCUGGAGUACCGUGGCAUGAUCUUGGCUCACUGCAAACUCCGCCUCCUGAGUUCAAGUGAUUUCCGGCUAAUUUUUGUAUUUUUAGUCGGGAUGGGGUUUCACCACAUUAACCAGGCUGGUGUUGAACUUCUGACCUCAAGUGAUCCGCCCUCCUCGGCCUCCCAAAGUGCUAGGAUUACAGGCGUGAGCCACCGUGCCUGGCCAUUAUGACUGUACGUUUUGGUGACACCUGGUUCUUACGUUAGAAAUCAGGCUGCUGAACGUUCUGCUCUGUGUGUGUCUUUGUGCCCAUUCUUGUUGGCUUCCUUAGAGGGAUUUCUGGAAGUUCAAUGAUUAUGUAAAAAGCACAAGCCUUGCUGGGACCCUGGAGUGGCGUUGGAGUCUCUCGUGGUUAGGAGCCCAGGCCCUGGCCUGGCCAUCGGGGGCUGGAAUCCUGGCUGUGUCCUCCGUAGCCAUGUGCCCCAGGCAGCUUUCCUCACCGCCUGCCUGUCAUCCAGGGAUGCAGGUAGGUCCUGCUCCAUGGGGUUGUCAUGGCGAUCACAGAGACUUGUCCGUGUGGACCACCUAGAGCAGUACCUAGCAGGGCACCUGGCGCCCUGGGGUCACCUUGGAUCAGGGUUGCAGCUGACCCACUCCCAUCCCUCCCAAAGGCCCUUCAGCCCAGACUUUUGUGCACCCCAAAUUCCAUCAAAAUCCUUUUUCCUUUGAGAGUAACUUUAUUCAUUUCCCUGCAGCUUAUUAAAGAAUUCUGAAGAACAGUGGGUGUUAAAUUUUUUAAAAGAAAGAAAACAUUCCAGUAAUCCAAAGCCAUCACGCAAUAGCCCACCCGACAGAGGUCCCUGAAAAACAGCCCACAGGGGUCCUUGGGGUUUGCGUCCACGACCCUCUAAGCAAGGUGCCUCACCUGGCGGAGCUCCUGAAGACGGGAGCUCCUGAAGACAGGCGCCCCCUCCUAGGAUGCCAAAGGUCAGAGGCCGCAGUGGGAGAGGCCUGGCUGACAGCUUGUAUUCCAGUGGGCUAGAGCCUCCAGAGCCCUCACCACUGGAUUGCCCCUUCUCUUGGCUGGGCGGGACCUGAUUUCCACCUGCACAGCCCUGGUGAAGCCACGCAAAAGGAACCUGGGAAAGGCUCAGGUCCAGAAUUGGAUGGACACAAUUGUGGAACUCAGCCCUCCUCCCCGGCUGGGGGACCUCUGGACAGGUCCCUGAGCCCCUUGGAACUUCGCUUCCCCAGCCUAUAAAAUGAGGCAGGCAUGCCUCUCUGAGGGUCUGGUGAGCUCUUGAGCUCCUGCAAACGGCCCAGAGUGAAGUAAUAGGAGUUUUUGAGCUGAAUUCUCAGUCUGUUGCUCAGGCUGGAGCACAGUGGUGCAAUCGUAGGUCACUGCAACCUCCACUUCCCAGGUUCAAGUGAUUCUUCUGCCUCAGCCUCCUGAGUAGCUAAUUUUUUCUACUUUUAGUAGAGACAGGGCUUCACCAUGUUGGCCAGGCUGGUCUCAAACUCCUGGCCUCAAGUGAUCUGCCCAUCUCGACCUCCCAAAGUGCUGGGACUACAGGCAUGAGCCACUGCACCCGGCCAGAAGUCAUAGGAUUUUAACGAGUGGAGACAGUGUGGGUGGGGCCAUUAUUCCACUUCCUGGAGAGGAAGAGAGAUCCUGGCAAUGUCUAUAGAUCUCAGGUGCUCUGCAGGGCAUGAGUGUAUUUAUUUACAUAUUUAUUUACUUGCUUAUUUAUUUAUUCACCUAUUUAUUUACUUAUGUACUUAUUUACAUAUUUACUUUUGAUUUGCUGACAUAUGUAUUUACUUAUUCAUUUACUUAUAUAUGUAUUUAUGUACUUCAUUCCCUUUCUUAUUUACUCUUUCACUUGUUGCCCGUCUAUUCAUGACAUCUGAGUGUCUCUCUCCCAGUAGAGGCCAGGGCAUGCACCUCUCAUGUUCCUUUCAGAACCAGCAGUAGAGGCUGGAGGUGGAGCUGGCAGGGCUGAAGACCUAUGGGGGGGACCUGGAGGAGUUUGAGACCCUCAGCAUGGUGCUGAUGCUGUCCCACUUCAGCCCGCAAGUGAUGGACACCGGGUGAGCCGGGCCGUGGAGGGCGCUCGCUGCCCCCUCCACUCUCCCUUCUCCCCUCUCCCCUGCCUCAUGCUCCUUCCGGUCCUCACUAGGCCAUACAGCCAAGGCCCUGGGACACUCCUGUCUGUCCAUUGACUUAUUCGUACAUGCUUCACUCUUUUCUUCACUCAACAAACAUUCCUGUGUGUCAGCGCAUCCCAGCUAUGCUGUGUGCUGGAGGAUGGGGAGAUAGACAAUGACUCCGGUCAUCCCUAACCCAGCCCCAUGGGUACCAGGCCCUGAGCUGGGCACUGGGCAGAGGAAUGCAGAGAUGAAGGAGCCCCUGGUAAGGAGCCUGUCAGGGGACAGGGGCAGGGGGCUGGGGAGUCUGCCUCCAUGGACAAGGUGCCGUUGGCACUCAGGUGGGAGGCAACGAGUUAUGCAGCAGGGUGGCUCAGCGAAGGGCCAGAUAGAGGCCAGAGCCUUCCAGCGGGGCCCAUGGGGACAGUUACAAACUCCUUCAUCAAAG
rnacentral:lncRNA from 10 species